rnacentral:rRNA from 1 species
UACGGAGGAUCCAAGCGUUUAUCCGGAUUUAUUGGGUUUAAAGGGUGCGUAGGCGGCCUGUUAAGUCAGGGGUGAAAGACGGUAGCUCAACUAUCGCAGUGCCCUUGAUACUGACGGGCUUGAAUAGACUAGAGGUAGGCGGAAUGUGACAAGUAGCGGUGAAAAUGCAUAGAUAUGUCACAGAACACCGAUUGCGAAGGCAGCUCGCUGGAACGUAACUGACGCUGAGACGCGAAAGCGUGGGGGAGCAAACAGG